rnacentral:rRNA from 1 species
UACGAAGGGGGCUAGCGUUGCUCGGAAUCACUGGGCGUAAAGCGCACGUAGGCGGCUUUUUAAGUCGGCGGUGAAAUCCUGGAGCUCAACUCCAGAACUGCCUCCGAUACUGAAAGGCUUGAGUCCGGGAGAGGUGAGUGGAACUGCGAGUGUAGAGGUGAAAUUCGUAGAUAUUCGCAAGAACACCAGUGGCGAAGGCGGCUCACUGGACCGGUACUGACGCUGAGGUGCGAAAGCGAGGGGAGCAAACAGG